rnacentral:sRNA from 1 species
UUAUAACAUGACCCCAGACCGACACUUAGGGUAAGUAGGCUGAGGUGUCUUUUUGUCCCGUGGGCCCCCCUGGAGCUCAGGACCCUUGCAGGCGUCAGGGUGCCAGCCCUUGAGUGGCCAGCCUGGCAGCGUCUCCCAUGUCCUGUGCGGCCUGGAGAGCCCCCUUCGUUCUGGGCCCAAAUGCGCGAAGGCACAGGGUCCAGGCGGGGGCCUCAGUCCCUCCUUCUCUCUCUUCCCAAGUGUCUGGGUGGGUGCCUCUGUCUCGCUCUUCCGAAGUGUCUGGGUGGGUGCCUCUGUCUCUCCUCUCUCUUCCCAAGUGUGCUGCCCACAGCAUUUUACCAGCUGGCUCUUUCCAGCCAGAGUGACCUAGGAAGGCGGCUGGGCGUGGUACUGGGGUCCAGCUUGUCACACCCAGCCCUGCAACUGUGGGGACAGUGCAUCGUGGCUCACACCCCCACCCCCGUGUUCCAGAGCUGCCUGGAUUGACAAGUGCCGCCCCAACCUGCUCAUCACAGAGUCCACGUACGCCACGACCAUCCGUGACUCCAAGCGCUGCCGGGAGCGAGACUUCCUGAAGAAAGUCCACGAGACCGUGGAGCGUGGUGGGAAGGUGCUGAUACCUGUGUUCGCGCUGGGCCGCGCCCAGGAGCUCUGCAUCCUCCUGGAGACCUUCUGGGAGCGCAUGAACCUGAAGGUGCCCAUCUACUUCUCCACGGGGCUGACCGAGAAGGCCAACCACUACUACAAGCUGUUCAUCCCCUGGACCAACCAGAAGAUCCGCAAGACUUUCGUGCAGAGGAACAUGUUUGAGUUCAAGCACAUCAAGGCCUUCGACCGGGCUUUUGCUGACAACCCAGGACCGAUGGUUGUGUUUGCCACGCCAGGAAUGCUGCACGCUGGGCAGUCCCUGCAGAUCUUCCGGAAAUGGGCCGGAAACGAAAAGAACAUGGUGAGGGCAUGGGGAGGUGUGGGAAUCUGGAAGCUGGAGGCCGACGGGUUGCCCUUCCACCCAUGCUGUCUCUGAGCUCUCACUGGCUUGGCCUCGUGCUGGCCAAGGGACGUGGCUGCUGCUGCUGCUGGGGAACGGGGGCGAUGUCUCCCUGGAGCUGCUCAGUCUCUCUGUGACACAGCUUGUCCACCUCGGGCAGAACAGCCCCAGCCCAGCCCUGGACAGUCUUGUGCCAAAACCUGAGCCCUUUGGAGUCUGCAGCUAGGCUUGGUCGGGUGCCGCUGGCAGGUGGAAACAGCUUCCAGGGGUUCAGGCGGGGGCAUCCCGGGCAAGGCCUUGAGGUGCCAAGGCUGGA